UACGUAGGGGGCUAGCGUUGUCCGGAAUCAUUGGGCGUAAAGCGCGUGUAGGCGGUUCGGUAAGUCCGCUGUGAAAGUCGGGGGCUCAACCCUCGAAUGCCGGUGGAUACUGUCGGACUAGAGUACGGAAGAGGCGAGUGGAAUUCCUGGUGUAGCGGUGAAAUGCGCAGAUAUCGGGAGGAACACCAAUGGCGAAGGCAGCUCGCUGGGACGUGACUGACGCUGAGACGCGAAAGCGUGGGGAGCA
rnacentral:rRNA from 1 species